rnacentral:sRNA from 1 species
UCCGUGCUGAGAUUGGCUUGCAAGGGCC